rnacentral:rRNA from 1 species
GGGCCCGCACAAGCGGUGGAGCAUGUGGUUUAAUUCGAUGAUACGCGAGGAACCUUACCAGGGCUUAAAUGCAGAACGACAGAGGUGGAAACACCUCCUUCUUCGGACGGUCUGCAAGGUGCUGCAUGGUUGUCGUCAGCUCGUGCUGUGAAGUGUCGGGUUAAGUCCCAUAACGAGCGCAACCCCUAUUUCUAGUUGCCAGCGGUUCGGCCGGGGACUCUAGAGAAACUGCCAGCGUAAGCUGUGAGGAAGGUGGGGAUGACGUCAAAUCAUCACGGCCCUUACGUCCUGGGGCUACACACGUGCUACAAUGGUAGGGACAGAGAGUUGCCAACCCGCGAGGGU